CUUCACUGGACUUCACUGGCUUCAUCUCAGAUUCUCCAUUCAUGUUCUCGGCUUCAUCUUAGGUUCUCCGUUCUGUGACUUCACUGUCUGAAAUUGUUGAGUGAAAUGGAAUCUGCCUCUGUGCCAUCUAAUG